AGUCAUAGUUUUGUAUGUUAAGCUGGAGAGAUCAGAGAGGAAAGGGUGGCAGAGGAAGGAUCUCAGAUAGGGUGGAGAAUGAGGACAGGUGGAAUCUCAUAGUGGAGAAAGUAGACAUGGAGAAUCUCAGAAAGAGUGGAGAAAGUGGAUGGGGAGGACCUCAGACAGGGUGGAGAAUGUAGACACAAAGUAUCUCAGGCAAGAUGGAGAAUGUGGACAGGAAGGAUCUCAGACAAGAUGGAGAAUGUGGACAGGUG